rnacentral:rRNA from 1 species
CCUACGGGGGGCAGCAGUGGGGAAUAUUGGGCAAUGGGCGCAAGCCUGACCCAGCAACGCCGCGUGAAGGAAGAAGGCUUUCGGGUUGUAAACUUCUUUUGUCAGGGACGAAGCAAGUGACGGUACCUGACGAAUAAGCCACGGCUAACUACGUGCCAGCAGCCGCGGUAAUACGGGGGAUGCAAGCGUUAUCCGGAUUUAUUGGGUUUAAAGGGUGCGUAGGCUGUGAGGUAAGUCAGCGGUGAAAUGCCCCCGCUCAACGGGGUGAAGUGCCAUUGAUACUGCCUUGCUGGAAUGCGGAUGCCGUGGGAGGAAUGUGUGGUGUAGCGGUGAAAUGCAUAGAUAUCACACAGAACACCGAUUGCGAAGGCAUCUCACGAAUCCGCGAUUGACGCUGAUGCACGAAAGCGUGGGUAUCAAACAGGAUUAGAUACCCUUGUAGUC